rnacentral:lncRNA from 1 species
UCCAGGUUGGCAGGCCGACAAUGUUGCUCUGGGAGAAUGAAGAUCACCCUGGAGAGUCUCAUGCUGGUAUUUAAAUGCUGCGGCCACAAGGCACACCUCUUCUGGGCUCACGACUCACUGUCCAGGACUAGCGACGUGGCUGCAUGGAAUCAUCUCAAGACCAGAUAGGGCAGUCUGUCUUGCUGUCUGUGCUCCAUAGUGGAGAGCUGUGCUGCACAGCUCUAAGGACUGCUUUACUCAUGGCGGCUCGUGUCCACAUGCCCAUUCCAGAUAAAUGAUUUCUUCCUGCCACUCGGGGGCCCAGAUGUUCCGCUCCUCAGGGCAGGCGCUCCCAGAGAGACCACUAGCUAAUAAGAGACACGCUCUGGGUCCUUUCACCAUCAGCUCUCUGAAUGCAGCAUGAUCAUUCGCCCCUCCACACCGAGACGUGGUGCCCUAUUGAUUUUAAGUCUCUUUUACUUAAAAUGCACUUACUUCUGUUGUUUAUAUUUCAUUGUCUCAAGGCUUGUUUUCCCUGAAAGGCUGAGAUGAACAGGAACUUUUAAGAGCUGCUAUCUGGAGAUGUCAUGAUCAUUAUCAAACUUUGAAAUUUGGUUUCAAGUCAUGACUUCCCUUAUUUUAAAUGUCAUAGUCUUGUGACACAGAUAAAGCGUUCUCCUGGAAGUAUCCA